UACGAAGGGGGCAAGCGUUGUUCGGAAUUACUGGGCGUAAAGGGCGCGCAGGCGGCCAAUCAAGUCAGAUGUGAAAGCCCCGGGCUCAACCUGGGAAUAGCAUUUGGGACUGGUUGGCUAGAGAUCGGGAGAGGAGAGUGGAAUUCCCAGUGUAGAGGUGAAAUUCGUAGAUAUUGGGAAGAACACCGGUGGCGAAGGCAGCUCUCUGGGACGGUACUGACGCUGAGACGCGAAAGCGUGGGGAGCGAACAGG
rnacentral:rRNA from 1 species